GGCAGGUUCAGAAGUGAUCUCAGGAGAGAAGACCUGGAUUGUUCUGGUUGGCUUAGACCAGGGGCUCUCAGCCGGGGUCAGCUCUGCACCCCAGGGGACAUUUGGCAGCAUCUGGAGACUGGAGAAGGGGUGCUUCUGGUAUCUUGAGAGUAGAGGAGGCCAGAGACGCUGUUGAAUGUGUUACAGAUGGCAGGACACCCCCAAACCGAGGACCACCCAGCCCACAGGUCAGUAUCACUGAGUUUGAGAAACACCACCUGAGACCAGUCAGGUUUACCCUCCAAGCUGGAGAUAGACCAGCUCCCUCUGAGAGACACACUGCUUUCACCAGGGGGGAUCUGAGCAAAUUCUGCAUCCGUUGGGAAGGAGACAUGAGGAGUAAGGGAGAGAAUGGUGUUGAGUAAGAAACCACAGCAUCUGUUACAGAGCAAAGUUCUUCAUCUUGAGGCCUGGCUCUGGUUCUGAUGCUGGUUCAUCCAAUGGCCAGAGAAGACUCCUCAGAAAUAGACUUGGCUUAAGCAGGGGGUUCGGGUGAUGCAGUCUCACGGCUCUGGGAGAGGCCAGCAAGGAUGCCCUCUCCGUGGCCCAGGAGAAAAUAGAGGCAUCCAGUGUCCACUGGCGGCCCAAGAUCAUGGGUCAGCUAGGACCAGCGACGGGACAAAAUGAAUUCACAGGAGAUGGCUCAACUCACCGAGUCCUGGUGGGAUUUGGUGAUGCUGGCCAGUUGAACGUGAAAAAGUGUUUAAUUCAAGGACAAGAGAAAAUCCAAAAGGUCUGUCCAGCAAACUGCACAUCUAGAAGGAGAAUGCUCACGCGACUCGGUCCACAAAAUGCAAGUCCACAGCCGGGCCUGUGGAUGACAGACCCCACCCAAAGGGCCAGGCAUGCUUCCGUGGACCUUUCCGCCAAUGUCACCUUUUCCAGCUGCAUGGUCUGGGGGAGGGCACAGACCACAGGCUAGGAGUUCUCAGGCAUGAAAACCACAUAGAGCUGAGGUUCUUCUGGAUAAACAGAGCAUGGAGUCAGUGUACGACAAGGCUUUGCUGAGUUCUGCCCAAGGUGACCUAGACAUCAGAAGUAUCAGAAAGACCGUGUCACCCAUAACCAGCCCAGCAGGCAAGGAGGGUAUCUUAGUGGUGGAAUUCCAGGGCAGGAAAAAAGCAUCAUCAAGUGAAGAUACCAACAUUGUAUUUAAGAACUCCCUGGGUUCUUCCUCUUAAAUUUGCAUCUGAAGGUUAGCAGAAAGAACAGAAAACUUCCAUGAAAAACAUCAGACUGGUUGCACGGGUUUAAAGGGACCUUGAAUCGUCCGUCUUGGAACACAGGCUUUUCCUGCCGUCCAGGUCAAGAAAAUAGCAAAGGGAAGGCUGCCCACAUCAAUGCGGUGCAUGCUCCUGUGUUCUCUGGAAACGGCACCAGGGACCCUGCACUGUCACUACGAGGCCCCUUCGAAAGGGGGACUCGAGAUCCCCACGGUCUUCAUUCUUGAUUCAGCUCUGUGUCCUCACUUCUUCUUUUGCCAGCCCUUUUGGAGUUUUCUUUGGGGAUUAAAUACAUACGGAGUUUUCUUUGGGGAUUAAAUACAUACUUUACUAAAUCGACAGAUUCCUUAGCAUCCUGUGAGAUGAAAACACAAAACCAAAAACAACAACGAUGACAAAAGUCUGAGAGAUGCCUUCAUUCUAGAAAACGCAUUUAACCACAGGCACGUGUGCUGGGACCUGCCUUUCAUUGUAGAUUGUAACGACAGAAAGAUCAUAAAUGUCGGAUUAUAUGAGGCCCUGGAUAAAAGAUAAAUCAGCUUAGGUAUCCCAAAUUAUCAAAUGUAUGGACGCCAAUACCCGGGUAAGCGUAAGAUGUUUGCAAUCAGACAUACGGAGAGCAAGAUUUUAAAAGUAGGGAAAACCAUUCUUUUUUCAAGUGGUUCUAUCGUAUCGACCCACUUCUAGAGACAGACAGGCCCUCAGCCUCGACACGGAAUCAAACUUUUCAUUCUAUAUGGCUCUUAAAUACAGGGUAAUUCAUUUUCCUAUUGAAUCAUUCAUUAGGGAUGAUAUUAUGUGGCAGAGAGAACCAGUAAUCUACUGAGGGCAGAGAGGAGAGGCCAGGUGAGGAUGGAGUGACCCAUGAGGAUGGAGCAACCAGGUGAGGACGGAGUGACCAGCAAGGAUGGAGCAGCCAGGUGACUCCAUACCUGGGUCUCAUCUGUGUCACAUCACCCCAGAUCAACUCAUCCUUCACAAUUUAAAACUGCAAUCCAGAAUUAAACCUCAUUAUCCUGGCCUCUAAGAUAGAAAACCAGAUUCACAGCUGAAUCUUAUUAUUAAAUACCCAUCAACCAUUUUCAGAGAGGAACCCCGGUUCUUAACCUGAGUUAAGUGCAUAACAUGAGAAUUCGCCCUGGCUUUGACAUCACUUCUCUGUAUUCAAGCGCUUUCAUACACAUUGGUCUGACACGGAAGAGAAGUAAUAUCCACAGCUGCUGUGCUAGAAUGCACUUUUAAGAUUUCCUGCAGGCUGAAUGUUGAAUGCAUUGUUACACAAAGAAGGAGCCUGUUGAUGGUGGUCACCUGUCCACAGCAGCCUGGCGAUAAACACAGGCUCAGUGUCCGUGAGAAAGAAGAGGCAGGACAAGCCCGGGGUGGUGGAGUGCCGGCCCCUCGAGGAAUGGCUGUCCUAGUCCCUCCCGGGGCCGUUUGCUCCAGGAGAGGGGAGACAGGCUUCCUGAGCAGGAAUCCAGCUACUGCCAACAGCCAGCAGGUGUAAUCCCUUAUCGCGUCCUUGGCACCUGCAAGGUGUUCAGAGAAUAUGGCUUUCUUUAAUCGGCACCAUUCUGCAUGAUACGUACCAUGACGUGCAUUUUGCAGAUAAGAAAAUCGAAUACUGUGGAGGUCAGGGGAUUGUCCAGGCUCCCAAAGCCGCAAAGGGGCAGCUCCGAGAUUCAAAUCCACCCGGUUUGACUCCGCGUCUAAGCACCGUCACCUAAACCAGCGACCUGGGCAGGGACAGUGGCUCCGACCAAGGACUUGGGCUGGAAGUGGGUCUGAGGCCCUGUUCGAUUUCCCGGGCAAACUUCGGGGUGCUUUUGGUUGGCUGGCCUGAAGGUUAGGCCAGGGCUGCCUUCACGCCCCGGGAUCCUGUGAAUGAGCCGUGAAGGCUUUCUCUUCCACCAACGGCUCACAGAGUCCUGGCAUCGGAGGCUUGUGCAAACAUUCUUCUCUGAAACCCCAAAAACAAAAUAGCAAGAAGAGGGCCAUCUGGUUGGGGUGAGGCUGGAGGCCUGGGAGGGACUGACGUUCCCUCCCAAGGACCGUCCCCUGAGGUCCCCUUGGAGAGGUUUCUCCCCUUGGAGAACCCUAGAGCUCAGAGGGGCACAGCUUGAAAAUCUCUGCCCUGGACCACCAAACAGCGGUGCAGUGGC
ensembl:lncRNA